GAUGAACGCUGGCGGCGUGCCUAAUACAUGCAAGUCGAGCGAACAGAUGAGGAGCUUGCUCCUCUGACGUUAGCGGCGGACGGGUGAGUAACACGUGGAUAACCUACCUAUAAGACUGGGAUAACUUCGGGAAACCGGAGCUAAUACCGGAUAAUAUAUUGAACCGCAUGGUUCAAUAGUGAAAGACGGUUUUGCUGUCACUUAUAGAUGGAUCCGCGCCGCAUUAGCUAGUUGGUAAGGUAACGGCUUACCAAGGCAACGAUGCGUAGCCGACCUGAGAGGGUGAACGGCCACACUGGAACUGAGACACGGUCCAGAAUCCUACGGGAGGCAGCAGUAGGGAAUCUUCCGCAAUGGGCGAAAGCCUGACGGAGCAACGCCGCGUGAGUGAUGAAGGUCUUCGGAUCGUAAAACUCUGUUAUUAGGGAAGAACAAAUGUGUAAGUAACUAUGCACGUCUUGACGGUACCUAAUCAGAAAGCCACGGCUAACUACGUG
rnacentral:rRNA from 1 species